UUACAGUUCAUGGAAGAAAUUUUAAACUGGCAAGAGAGAGAGAGAGAGAGAGAGAGAGAGAGAGAUAGCACACUACGCGCUUCAUUUAUUUUAUUUAGAAAUAAAUUUAAUUGAAAAUGUGAAUCAACUAGCAUUCAAACUUGGAAUCUCGAAUACCAAUAAUUAAAAUCUUUGUCAUUUGCUCUAGGAACGGACGGUCAGAGAGAGAGAGAGAGAGAGAGAGUGAGUGAGAAAUUAAAUUCAACCACAUAAGGCUUACACCAUAAGGCCGGCUUUAAUUAACAUAGAACAGAACUUUUAUCGCAUUGCUUUGUACUCCACCCGAAAAGGUGUUUGGGGAGUAAAACAUUCUUCACAAAAUUUGUUAAAAAUAUUUUGGAUUAAUUUCGUACAGUUCUCUGUAAACAUAUCGAAUAAUAAAUAUAUUACUAUAAAGUUUAAAUUUUCAUAUUUAUCCUUACAGAAGUCCAGUAAUAUUCAUAUUUGACCCUUUGGUUUAUUGCGGUUAGAACAUUAUUUAUUUUUUGAUAAGUGAAAUAAUAUUUUUGUCAUUACAAAUAUGCCCUCUAAAAGUCCAAAUUAUUAGAAUUAUUCAGAAAUAUCCUUCCAAAAAUUUUCAACGGUCUUCUUCUUUUCUACCAUCACAGAUAAUAUAACAGGGAUAAAAGAUUAAUUCAUCUCAUUCACUAAUCAGUGUUAAGUAUUUUACUUAUGAUUAAUUUUAUUUUUCUAACGGAUAUUAGCAGUAGGGAUAUCUAUAUUUAAAGAUAUUAUGACUUUUAUAAGAAUAAAUAUGAAAAGUUAAAAUUUUAUAGAAAUAUAUCUACUAUUCGAUAUAUUUAUAAAAAGCUGUAUACCCAAAUAUUUAUAUGCUUCUCUCAUGAUCGUAAUUAUAUAACAUAAAAAACGAAAAAUCAAAA
rnacentral:lncRNA from 1 species